rnacentral:sRNA from 1 species
GGGACAUCGGAUGUUGUGUUGUUUCAGAGCUAUGCUGGAAACAGCAUAGCAAGUUGAAAUAAGGCUAGUCCGUUAUCAACUUGAAAAAGUGGCACCGAGUCGGUGCUUUUUUU